rnacentral:lncRNA from 1 species
AAAUUUUAUUUUAUAUGAUAAAGUGACAACAUACAUGUGUAGCACAAAGAUAAAAACUGGAAGUUAUAUACAAUUACAAAAUCGAAGUAUCUAUAUUGAUGUCACUUGCAGUCAUUUGCUUAAACGUAAUUCAAAAACAAAUCCAUAACAAUGUCUACUACAGUAUAUCAUAAUCGAUAAUGUUUGCUAACAUCUCCUACUGUGAGAUCAUCAACAGAAACACACAAUUAUACAGAAAACCUCGUUCAUGGCAACGUCAAGGCUUUCAUGCCACUUUUAUAAGUCCUGGUUAAUUGAGUUGAUAUGUGCAAUACAAUAUAAACGACGUAAAAUAUUUAUAUGAUUGCAUCGAAUAUUUAUAACCAUAAUGUAAACUUCUUAUGCUCAGAAAAAUAAACUGUCUGUCUCCAUUUGAAUCCAGACUACGUGCGCUCACACACAUAUACUUGGUAAUAUAUUUUGAUGUGAUAUUAAAGGCACAUUUAUUUUCUAUUGUCAUUGUUAAUGUUAAUGAAUAACUCUUUGCAUUCAAUGCAUUCAGUAUCACUAUUCUUACACUAACUUGGAAAUCUUCUUUGGCACAAUUUACAACUAGUUAUUGUCCAUUUAAUCCUACUUUGUAAAUUGGUGUAUCGUCGCCAUUAUAGCAGUUACACGAAGCAAGUAUCUUGAAGUCUGUUCUGUUGCUUUACCAAGAAUUGAGCAGAACGAAGACGAUAAAGGUCUUUGUUUGUAUUCAUCAUUAAAAUUGUCUCCAAUCUUUCUUAAGAAACGUCCACAUUCUCUAGAAGUUCUUUUUUGUGAUUCGUCCAUUGUACGGUUUACUAUUUAUCAAUUUGAUAUAAGAUAUUAAACAUUUGUUUAUAUA